GUGCUCCCUUGGCAGCACAUAAACUAAAAUUGGAAUGAUACAGAGAUUAGCAUGGUCCCCUGCGUAAGGAAACUGGACACUAAUCUCUACCCAUAUCCUCUUUUC